UCUUCGGGAUAGGUAGUAGUUAAGGUGAUGGCUUAACUAGCCAAAAACUCUCGUAGUCGAAGCUGAAAGGUUGAUCGACCACAUUGGGUCUGAAAAAACCCCAAUGCAAGUUAGUACAGCAGUGAGGAAUCUUGGUCAAUGGCCUAACGGCUGAACUGGCAACUUGGAGAAGUGGCAAGUCUUAUUUUGAUUAUAUUACAAUAUAUAAUCUAUAAGAUUGUAUUAAAAUUGAAUAAAGCUUUGUUUAUAUAUUGAUAAUGACAGUAUAUAUAUCGUGUCUUGACUAAUUACGUGCCAGCAGUCGCGGUAAUACGUAAGAGACUAGUGUUAUUCAUCUUGAUUAGGUUUAAAGGGUACCUAGACGGUCAAUAUAUCUUCUAAAAUGUUAGUACUUGACUAGAGUUUUAUAUAAGAGGGCAGUACUUGAGGAGGAGAGAUGAAAUUCUAUUAUACCAAAGGGACUCGGUAAAGGCGAAGGCAGCCCUCUAUGUAAAAACUGACGUUGAAGGACGAAGGCACAGAGCACAAACAGGAUUAGAUACCCAAGUAGUCUUUGCAGUAAAUGAUGAAUGCCAUAGGUUAGAUUAA
rnacentral:rRNA from 1 species